UAUUACUGUGGGCUCCAGUCUCCCCUUUGUCACCACAUAUUCACCUUCUACUAUGGCAUUGGUCAGAGGAUGCAGAAGGAGAUUCCUCUCCCACACCACAGGGUCUUCUGUCCUGCAGGACCACAGGAUCAUCCCGGCCUACAGGAGAAACAAGAAUCUACUGGAUUAUCUGGUAAAGGCCAAAUUAAAACCUCUGCACAGCACUAAGGGGAGAGGUCAGAGUGAUGUCUUUUUUAAACACAGAAAAUGGCUGCAAAGCCACAGCACGGGAGAUGUUUUUCUGAACUCAGCCAGGGGAAACACCAAGUCUAAGAACUGUGUUUACCUCAUCACGUGUGUACAAUGUGGAUUACAAUAUGUGGGGGAGACGGGGAACACCAUCGCGACCCGCUUCACACAACACAAACACAACAUCAUUAAAAAGAAAAAAACACUGACGCCACUUGUGGCACAUUUUAUUUCGCACGGCUGGAAAUCUGUGUCUGUGUGUGUGAUCCAGACGAACCCCGGAUGGAGCGCUCCCCAGAGGAGGAGAGCGGAGAGGGGCUGGAUCAAUAAAUUAAACACCAGGUAUCCUAAGGGCUUAAAUGAGGACUAAGAGCUGCGGGCUGUGAGGCAGUGCUGGACAGUGCGCAGAUGGUCCUGCUUGCAGGUCCAUCCAAAACUAUUUAUUCCCUAACCGGCCCGUGCCGCCUGCUGAGCAGCCUGCGGUCUCUACGGUUCUCGCAUACAGCCCACCCUGUUAUUUUGUCCUAAACACAACCACUCCAUAACCCAUGCCUAAACCUAAUCCUAUACAGCCCACCCGGUUAUUUUUUCCUAAACACAACCACUCCAUAACCUAUGCCUAAACCCAACCCUUCAUCAUCCAUGAUCCUGCCACUGUACCACUUACAGGUUGAAGUUUAAAUAAAAGGCCAAUUGGCCCUUUAACUGUUGUGUUAUUUCACAGUUGGAUGUAUGAAAAAGGGUUUUAUUCACUUGUUUGGGAAUGUGGUUACGUUGUAAAUAUUUCUAAUAUUUCUGCUUUUUGACAAAAAUGUGUGUUUUAUUCCAUGUU
ensembl:lncRNA